ensembl:lncRNA
UAUGAAAAGUUAAAUAACCUUAUUCGAUGAAAUUACAAGAAAAUCAGUUGUGAAAUGCACUUUUUUUUUUUUUUUUUUUUUAACCCCGACCCGCACAGCGCUUCCGAGAAAAGCAUCUGCUAAAAUAAGGGGGUGAACUGGGAUGUAAAUUUCCACUGCAGCGUAACCCUUCGUGGUCUUUAUUGUGUCGCAGUAGCGAACGGUACAGCGGCAGGGUUGCGUUCUUAAUUAUUCGUUCCUGUCGGUACUUCUGUCUGCGUACAGCUCUUGCUGAACGGAGAAAUGACUGGAAUAUUGACCAAUGACUAAUACUGGACUAUUUAAAAAGAUCAUGAACUCUAGAGUUUUAUUGUGGGACCAAAAAAAAAGGGUUUGUUGAUUAGUAAGCUGUUGGCGAGUGGCAAGCGUUUUUAAAUGUUUUAGAGCUCGUGAAGCCGUUUCUGCUCCAUCUUUCUUGUGCGGGCUGGUUAUAACGGCGCCCUUUCAGUGUAUCUGGGUUGGGGAUUUAUGCUGUGAGAAAGUUCCAGAACUCCGCCAAGGAUACGUACGAGAUACUACAAACUGCAAAAAGCGCCGGGGAACACCCAGAACACAGUGUGUGUGUGUGUGUGUGUGUGUGUGUGUGUGUGUGUGUGGGGGGGGGCGGUGUCUCGGUGUCUCUUGUAUGAUGAAAAAGAAUAGGCCGAGGACCUCGCCUCCCCGCCCUCAAAGGCAAAGGCAAAGGCAAGAAGGGUAGAGCUCAAGGCCAUCCUCAGGGAGGAAUCACGGUGCCACCGCGACCCGCGUAAGCGUUUGGACAAAUCGUCAUGGACCGCUUUGGCACAGGACAGCUUCAGCCUCGUCAUUGCUGUUUUUAUCUGCGACACCGAAGAAACCCGGGCUGGUGGGACACCCCGGGGUCGCCGUUGUCCCUGCCGCUCGACCGUCGCCGGCCGGAGGACAAAACAACAAGCCAAGCGCCGCCGGUGUGUGAUAAAUGUUUCGGAAGGAGCACGAGCACGAGCACUUGUGUCGGAGCCGAAUCGCGUCGUGCUCCAUGGACGACAAACGACGAAAGCGCUUUUCACGGACGGAACUGAACUGUCCACGCCGGUACAGCGGCGAUCCUGCAGGUGGGUUAAAUGCCCCGGCGUAGUAGGCCCAGGAGUCCGAGAUGGAGGCGAACGAACGCCACUGACUGAGAACCUUGCUCGCGUAGCCUCUGUUUCCGCACAUGUAACUCUUUCCUCGGGAACAAUGAAAAUGUUAAGAGUAAACUUUCAGGCUGCCAGUCAGUGUCCUCCAUGAUACUACAUUCAACCGGGUCUCUGCGUCCCCGUGCUUGUCUCUGCUGACACACACAGUUGUUGUUUUGUUGGCUCAAGCGAGAGAAAUUUUGAAUGGAGACAUUACUGUUCCACACAGUGAAACAAUAAAGUUUUCCUCGUCGGCA